CGCAACAAUAGGAAACACUCUUCUCCGCGGGUCUCUCUCAGCCUAAGAAAAACGAAGCACUCUCACUCCUCUUUUCCCUUUGCCGUUGGGUUCCAUUUCCUCUGCAACAAGGAAGCUCUCUUCCAAAUCCAGGCAGAUAUUGGUGAUACCAAAUCAAAAUGUAUAGCUCAGCAGCGAAGCGGCUUCUCCAUCUCUUUGGUACAUCCUUGGGUAGCAGUACCAACCACCGUAUUAUUCGUUACCGCCCUCUUCAAUCCCUCAUUAGUCGUUCUCACUUUUCCACAACUGUGAACUCCGAAUCUUUCGUCAAUCAAAGCCCUAACUUUCCAAACUCCACAUCGUCAACGGCCGAUCAAAUCCCUAAUUUUUCAAAUACCACGUCAUCAACGGCUGAUCACACUAGGAAACCGAGAGCGGAAUACCAAGAUGAGCAAGCUCGUGUGCUCCAAGCCUCACUCCCCCAUGUUAUAAGGUUGGGAUGGAGUGAAGCGGCUAUGAUUGCUGGUGCAAGGGAUGUUGGUUUGUCUCCAUCGAUUGUUGGAUCAUUUCCAAGGAAGGAGGGUAUGCUCGUUGAGUUUUUCAUGGAUGACUGUUUGCAAAGGCUUAGUGAUAUGAUCGACUCUAGUACAGAGGAGUUAAAAAGUUUGAUACCAAGUGAGAGGAUCACAAAGCUUGUGAAGAGUCGCUUGGAAAUGCAGGCACCCUACAUAUCGAAGUGGCCACAAGCUCUUAGCAUCCAGGCACAACCAGUGAAUGUACCCACAAGUUUUAAGCAGAGGGCGAUGCUUAUGGAUGAGAUCUGGCAUGGUGCUGGCGACGACACAGCUGAUUUUCAGUGGUAUGUGAAGCGGACUGUCCUUGGAGGUAUAUACUCCACAACCGAGAUUUACAUGCUUACUGAUAAUUCCCCAGAUUUUUGUGAUACAUGGGCAUUCUUGGAUGAUCGGGUGAAAGAUGCUUUUGACUUGAAGAAAACCGUCCAAGAGGCAACAUACUUGGCAGAAGCUGUUGGUGCUGGGAUGGGGACUUCUUUGCAAGGAUUUGUGAAGAGAGUCUUUCAGGGCUAAGAUAUUACUAAAGAAUUAUAUUGCAAGCAUCAGUCCUCUCUCUGGUCAGUAAUCUUGGAUGAGAUGCUCUGUUACAACUUUACUAAAGAAUUAUAUUGCUAGCUCAAAUUAUUGUAAAUCUUUUCCUUCUCUGCUGAAGCCUGAGUUGAGUUUAGUUGUCUAUUGCAAGAUCCAUUUCUUUGUCAAUUGAAGCUUCAUUUAAGCUCUCAGGGUCCAGUUUUAAGGCUAAAGAUACAGGGGAAGCCAUGACCUAAUCGAUGGCAAAGCUUGUCCAAGAGAACAUCAAAGUUGGCUGAUCGUGGAGUGGCGGUCUGCCGAUGCUACUAGGGGUGGGUUUUAUUAUUAAUUUUAUUGAAAGGGUGAAAUUGGACUUUCAAACUUAUGAUAGUUGACGUGUCGUGUUAUAGAUUUUAAGAUUAUUACAAUGAUUAGGAUUAAGUGAAAUGCAGAAAAAUGCGUAGAUUCUAAAUGUGAGGCUUGGAAUUUGAGUUUA